rnacentral:tRNA from 1 species
GCCUCGGUAGCUCAGUUGGUAGAGCGCGGGACUCGUAAUCCCGUGGUCGCGGGUUCAAAUCCCGCCCGAGGCU